AACAAAAACCACAGCACUGAAUAUGUAAAUCUCGGUGGCUGAACCCCUCCUAGGAUAAUAAGCCCUGGCACAAUUGCUUCUAUCUUCUCUUUCCCUCAAGGAAGUCAAAAAAACACCUGCAGCCCUACUGUCCCCUUGGAAACAAGAUGAACAUCUACAUUUUCUAGAGUGAGACCAGAAUCUCUGUUCAUAUUUAUGUCCCAUGCAUUUGCACAUGGCCGGUCAAAGGAACUUUGCUUCUGCCAGCACAUCUAUCUUCAGAUAUGAGAGGGAACAGACACAACCUGGAAGCAGCAACGAAGCAGCUCUUUCUCAAAUAACCUCCUCUAUCUCCAUCCUUCCUGGCUAAUGGGGCAGCCUUGAUCCUUGGGAAUCCAGGACAGAUAUCCGCUGGUGACAAACUAGCUGGAAGAAUGACAACCAAUCAGGUUCUAAGCACCACUGGAUGUGAACCACAGAAUUCCCCCCUCUCCUUGUGGAAUAUCAGCUUAUGUCUGACAAAAAAUAUGAAAAUGAGAGAGUUACAAUCUUAAGGAGGAGUCAAGCUAAAGCAAAAAGAAUCACCUCCUCUGGAUUUCAGCGUGACUGCUGAGCUCAAAUAUAUACAAAAAGAGAAAGAACCACAAACUUGAAGAUGGAUAUCGGCUAAAGACUUUCCUGAGUCAGAUCUCACCUAAGAAAAUAAACAUAUGCUAUGUCAGAGAAGCCUCAGGGCUUCCACAUCUGCUCGAAAAGGGAGUUGAGCUUCAGCAGCUGACCCAGGGCUCUGUUCCCCUUUGGUGAGAAGGGUUUUUGUACAGCAAGACAAUGGAGAGCUCUCACUGUGGUGGACGUUCGGCCAAGGGACCAAGCUGGAAAUCAAACGAGCUGUGGCUGCACCAUCUGUCUUCAUCUUCCCGCCAUCUGAGGAUCAGGUGAAAUCUGGAACUGUCUCUGUUGUGUGCCUGCUGAAUAACUUCUAUCCCAGAGAGGCCAGCGUAAAGUGGAAGGUGGAUGGUGCCGUCCAAACGGGUAACUCCCAGGAGAGUGUCACAGAGCAGGACAGCAAGGACAACACCUACAGCCUGAGCAGCACCCUGACGCUGAGCAGCACAGACUACCAGAGUCACAAGGUCUAUGCCUGCGAAGUCACCCAUCAGGGCCUGAGCUCGCCCCUCACCAAGAGCUUCAACAGAGAAGAGUGUUAGAGGGAGAAGUGCCCCGGGCCCCCCACUUGCUCCUUAGCCCCAGCCUCACCCCCUCCCAUCCUUUGGCCUCUGGCCCUUUUCCCACAGGGGAGCUGCCCCUAUUUUGGUCCUCGAGCUCAUCUUUCACCUCAUCCUCCUCCUCCUCCUCGGCUUUAAUUAUGCUAAUAUUGGAGGAGAAUUAAUAAAUAAAGUGAAUCUUUGCACCUGUG